ensembl:lncRNA
UUUUUUUUUUUUUUUAGCUUAAGUUACUUCUGAUAAAUUAGGAGUGCCCCACUAUCCCGGGCCAUUAAUUCAAACGCCUGGAAGGCUUCCUCAGUUCUCCCAGGGGCUGCCCUGCAUCCUUUGUUAUUCAAAUCUCAGGCUGGGAAGGAGCUCACCUUGGGGGUUUCUUGUCUUUGACUGUUAACCCAGUUGUUACCAGCGAAGGCUCUGGAUCCUCAUGUGUCGGCCACUUUGAGCCCCAGCCGUUUUCCCACAUCACUUUCCCAAGCUUUAGGCAACACUGUGCUUUCUGCAAGAAUUGCAGCCUGACUCGCACCUGGUGGCCGGUGGCCUCAGGUGUCUAUUGGGUGCAGCAAUUGGGUGUCGCUGGGAAGAGCAUCCGGGUGAAGCGGGGAUGGGGACGGAUCACUGUGGCCACUUGUGGACCCAAAUUCCAUCUCCAAGCUUUGAAAAUUCAGCUCCUGUAAAUUCAGCUACGCAGGAGUCUGUGGCAGGGUGUCCCCAGGGAAGCAGACUCUGAGAUGGAGGUCAGGGAGCAGAAAGUUCCUUAGAAAUGGCCCUUGGGACCAUCUCCUGUGGAAGCGGGGGGGAGGGGAGGAGAGGAAGCAGGAUGGCGAGGGGAGAGUCACAGUGGUGCCGUCACAGCGAGGCCCCAGCCGACCCACGGGGACCUGCAAGCUGGGGUGGCCCUUCUGAGUCGUCCCCCUGGCAGGAGUAGACCAGCUGUGGAUGCUCUCCUCAGCGGAGGGCCAGCACUCCCAGGGCCUGGGGAAAUAAGACUUUCCAUCCUGAAGGGGGCACAGCCCAGCGUCCCCCACCAAAAUCCCGUUCGGUUAUUAAUCCCAUGUUUUAAGGCAAAGAAACUGGCAUCCAGAGAGGGGCAGGGACUCGCCCGGUUCACGGCUAGCGGUGCAGGGCCAGAUCACGGAUCCUGGCUGUGACUGGGAACUGGAGCUGAAGGGGCAGCUGCGCGACCCAUAGGGCCCCUGUCUGGCCAGAGAGGCUGGCCAGUCUUCUGGCUGGUUGGUGGCCAGGGAGCCUAAGGGGCGAUGCCCCACCCACCGAGGCCAAUUCCCAAGGCCCGUAUGCGGAAUGGAUGAGGCCACUGCCCUCCUCGCCCUGUCGUGGCAGCCUGACCCUGGGGAGACGCAUCCUGCGUUCGACAGGCUUCUCGGGGUCUGGCGGCCAUGAGCUCAGGGUUGGGUGUGCUCUCCAGGGACGGCCCUGGUGUGAGGCGAUGCUGAAGGGUGCCCUGUUCUCUGUGGGGCGCGGACCCGACUUCUGGCUUUGUCCUGCAGAUUCGCCGUAAUGCUCUCCUACUACGGGCUGGUCCUUGACCUGCAGAGCCUGGGGAGUGACAUAUUCCUCCUCCAGGUCCUCUUCGGAGCCGUGGACUUCCUGGGCCGGGGCACCACCACCUUAUUUCUCCGGUUCUUCGGCCGCCGCGUGACCCUGGCCAGCUUCCUGACCAUGGCUGGCCUCUCCAUCCUGGCCAACGUACUGGUCCCACAGGGUGAGGCCAGGGAAGCCCAGAAGGGUGGGCUGAGCUGCUGACAGCUUGGGGCUCUUGCUUCCAGCCCACCCCACUGCCCUCAUCCGGCUGGCUCCUUCCUCUCCUCUGGCCCCGAGGAUGGGCAGGGGCCCCCUGUGCCCGGCUCUGCCCAAGUCCAUUACUCUCGCAACAUUUGUAGCAUCAUCGCAGGAAUCCAGUUCCCUCAACCAGCCCGCCACCCAUUUUCCUGAAGCAAUUGAGGUUCAGAGAGGUGAAGCCAGGUGCCCAAGGUCAGCUAGCAAGCAAUGAGCCAGGGCUUGGACCAGACUUAAAGCCUGAGGCUGGAGCCCGUGAUGGGAGGGAGGCCUGGGAAGGCUUCUCAUCUUCAGGUUGGGCUUUAGGUCGCUGGAAGGGAGGCAGGAAAGGCAUGAAGCCAAGAGUGUGGUGCCUUCUUCUCCCUUGGUAAGAAAGCAAGAGGCAUUCGCGUGCAGAGAGCUGGGGCGGCUGCCGAGGGCCCUUGUCUUCCUCUUCUUUCGGAAUGAGGCUGUAAAACCCUGGAAACCCUCCCCAUGUCUCCUUUUAUUGCUCAAGGCGGGAGGCUAAAGGAGGGGCAGGGACAUGUGUCCUGUGAUGGCAGCAAAGCCAGGAGGUUGGCAGAGGGACAAACAACAGCCCAGAGAGACUGAGUGAGGAUCGAGGGCCAGCUGUGAGCCCAAACUCUGAGCAAGAUGCAGCACUCAGAAAAAUGUCUGGGACGAGCACUUGACAGUUUAUAAGACUCUUCAUAACAACAAGUGGGAAGGGGAAACUGAGACCCAGGCUCAUGGCUAGAGUGUGACCCGGACCUCGGCUUCCUGGCUAGGGCUUCUGCCAUCCACCCACUUGCUCCCUGUGAAAGCCAGGGGUCCCCAGGCAGGGUGUGCAGCAGCAAGAAGCUUCUGGGACCUGGGCACCCCAGGGCCUCUGUUGUGGGCAGGGCCCAGCGUGACCCUCUCCUUCACGAGAUGGAGUUUCCUCAGGACCCAAGGAGCCCUGGCACAGCCACAGUGUAGGGGGCAGGUCUCGAGUCUACCCUCAGCUGCCCCAUGCUCACCCAUCCCACACCUCCCUGGGUUCUGGCCCUGCAUCCAACCCCCCAGCCCACCUACUGUGAUGUCUUCCUGUGCCACAAGCCCUGGGCAGCCUGGUACCGAGUCAGCACUGCCAGGGAUCUGGGUUCAGCCUAAGGAAGCCAUGUGGGAGAACUCAGCUCCUUCACUUCCUGAAGACCCUCUUGAGCAGACCCCGCUCUCACCCUUUCCUCUGCCCAGACUUGCAGCCCCUGCGUGUGGUCUUCGCCGUGCUGGGAAAGGGAUGUUUUGGUGUAAGCUUGACAUGCCUAACCAUCUACAAGCCUGAGCUCUUCCCAACUCCGCUGCGGUAGGCUGGGCUGCAGGCUGUGCCCCGGGGUGGGGGGCUCUGCCAGACCCGACGGCUGGGGGUAGAAGGCGAUGCCCCUGGGAGGGCCGAUGGGGAGGGCAGAGAGGAGCUGGGGACUGAUGGAUACACAGCAGAGGGCAAGGGGGACCCAGCGCCGACAUGGAAUUGAGCAGCUGGCCCCAGCAGGCCUUUCCCCAAAGGCACAUCCUAGGCCAGGGCCUCCCCAAGAGUCCAGACUCAGAAGGCAGCGGUACAGGGGGCCCUCAGCAGCCCUCUAAGCCUGUGACUAGAAGCUGUUUUGAGACACAGAACACUCUGUCCAGGAGAAAUCUUAUAAGAACUCUGGGAAGGAGAAUGAGAGCUGCCCUGGUGUAGUGGGGACCUCCCCCCACUUGCUUCCCACUGCCCCCCUCCCUGCCCCAAGAGAGCCCCGAUCACAGCCUUGGAGCCCAAGGUCUCCAUGGGACAGGGAUGGAAAACCAGUGGUCUUGAAUUAGACCACCCCUGCAUUGGACAGUUGGGUAAACUGAGGCUCGGGGUGGCGAAGGACUCACUCAGUAGAAGGAGAGGACUGGAUCCCAGAUCCCCGGAGGCCUAGCCCAGUGCUCUUUCCUUCAAUCACUCACUUGUCCAUUCUUUCAUUCAUUUUUUGCUGACACAUGUUUAUUGAUUUUGUUGAUACUACAUAGGAAGCCAAGCUGGGAACUCAGUGGCCUAGGAGGAGCCCCCAAAUUACCUAGACUGGGGAGAAUGGAGUGGGCCCUAGAGAGUUCCCACAAAGGACUCUUGAUGUUCUCAGGAAGCAGAGGCCCCCUCUGGAUGGGAAAAUCUAUGUGGACUCCAUGGGGGAGGUGGCGUUGGGGAGACCUUGAGGAGGGCAGCUCCUUCGGCCCAGCUUUCCCUCCCCUGCGUCCCCUGGCCCAGCCCAACAGCCCCUCCUCUGAUAAAGACCCCCUCCAAAGUGGCAGGUGUGACAAGGGUCCGGGCCCUUCCCUCUGCCCACAGGGUGACGGCAGAUGGCUUCCUGCAGUCAGCAGGUCGGCUGGGGGCUGUGAUUGGCCCCCUGAUCAUGAUGACCCGCCAGGCCCUGCCCCUGCUGCCCCCCAUCUCCUACGGUGUCAUCUCCAUCGCUGCCAGCCUCAUCGUGCUCUUCCUCCCAGAGACCCGGGGACUUCCACUCCCUGACACCAUCCAGGACCUGGAGAGCCAGACAUCAGCACCAGCCAGUGGUUCCCAGCGAGAGGAGAUCAUCAGAGAAAGCACCUGGUUCUAGAAAUACUGCCUGUGUGGAGCCCCUUUGGCUAAAGAUCCCAACGGAGGGAAUUGCCGCUUCGCCAAUCAGAGGGUGGGAGCGAUCGGGGAAGCCUUGAGGGUCUGGUGUAGCAGGGGCUGGGCAGGCAUGGCUGAGUGGGCAGUGUCGCCAUCUACUGUCCUCCCUAACCUGGUCAGACUCUCCACCCACCUCAGCUCUACAGGAGCCCACUGCAGACAGCCAUGCGCAGCCUGACUGCCCUCAGGUCCACCUCGUUAACAAGAUGGGCCCUCUUCCUUCCCUGCCAGGCUCACAGCUUCACACCUUCACCCAGCCAGCCCCCCAACUCACUUCACAGAACCUCUGCUGCAGGUUACUCACCUCUGAGCUUCCAGACGGGAUCAUAGGACAGAGAGGGUGGGAUCCAGACAGAACUGGAUGCUGAUCUGUCCCCCACCACUGAUAGAGUCCUCAUCUGUAAAAGGGAACGAUCAUGGAAACUGCCUCCCAUGGUGGGUGGUGGGGUGAACGGAUCUUACCACAGCGCAGAGUCCAACAAAUAGAACCGGCUAACAGAGCUGCCAGGUGCCAGUGUCUAGGUUGUGCCCUGCCCCAAGGCACCAGCUAAGGAGGCAUGUGGGGGCCAAAUCCAGCCCAGGCUACACUGGCCCAGACACUUACCCUAACGGGGGCUGUGUUCAUUCCAAGAAAGGGGUUGUUUUCAUUACCUCCCAUUUACCCCAUUGCUGAGGGAGGGCUUCCUGCCUGUGGAUAUAGGGAUGGCCUAACACACGACAUCUAGCACUGCACAGAUGACAGGGACUGCAGUUUAUUAAUCACAGCCCAAGGGAGGAUGACACCACACACCCUGCAGGGUCAUGAGGGGGUUGCUCGCAAGAACAGAGUGAACCACCAGGGGCCGUGGGGGGCAGGAUUUGUGGUAUCAAGAGGGUGGGGUGGCUCCUGGUUCCUGAAGGAGGAUGUGACUGGCUUGUUUGACUAAUUUCACACAUCGGCAGGAAACUUAAACCUGCGUCUCGGGGAGAACACAGAGCUGUGCCUGGUCCCUUGAUAAGAAGCGUUGUUGGCUAGGGGACCUUAAAGGACAGAAUGGGGAGGGAUUCACAGUUAGGCCAUUUGAGACCCUCUUGGUUGCACCAGAUGUCAAGGCAGCAGGUAAUAUUGGGCCUUGAUUUUAGGCCUCACAUCACAGGAGCAACCUUUUGCUGUUUGUCUAUCUCGAGGGGUCACCUUUUCCAAAUUCAUGCAAAGACCCUCCCUGUGCUAGCAGCAGCCCAGGCUGGUAAAAUUGUGGGAUGGUUGAGUCUGACCACUUAUUUGAGAGGUGAGGAAACUAAAGCCCAGAGAUGGAAUGACGUGCUCGGAGCCACACACCUGACUCCAGCCCAGGGCUCUUUCCAGAGCACCAGGCUCCUCGCCCUCACCCACAUCCCUCUGCAGCCCUGUCAUAAAGUUACAUCCUUCCCCAAAGAUCCAGACCCUUUAGACAAUUGCCCACCCUCCUUGGACAACUCAGGGAAACUUCUAGAUUCCCCAUCCCAGGUCCCCUCUCUCACAUCCGACACACACCAGAGCCGUCACAUACAAUUCAAAUCAAAACCAUCUGGGAGCUCAUGAUAAAGAUCACGCUUUCCCCACCAACGGGCCCCUAGGGGUCCCCAGCCUUACUUCACAUGUAAUAAAUUUAAAAGAAUUCAAAUCA